rnacentral:rRNA from 1 species
AGAACGAACGCUGGCGGCAUGCCUAACACAUGCAAGUCGGACGCUUUCGGGGGUUUCGGCCUCCGAGGGAGUGGCGGACGGGUGAGUAGCGCGUGGGAACCUGCCCCUUUGUGGGGGAUAACCGAGGGAAACUUCGGCUAAUACCGCAUGCGCCCGGGGGUAACUCCGGGGAAAGAUUUAUCGCAGAGGGAGGGGCCCGCGUCGGAUUAGGUAGUUGGUGGGGUAACGGCCUACCAAGCCGGUGAUCCGUAGCUGGUCUGAGAGGAUGAUCAGCCACACUGGGACUGAGACACGGCCCAGACUCCUACGGGAGGCAGCAGUGGGGAAUAUUGGACAAUGGGCGCAAGCCUGAUCCAGCAAUGCCGCGUGAGUGAUGAAGGCCUUAGGGUUGUAAAGCUCUUUCGACGGGUACGAUAAUGACGGUACCCGUAGAAGAGCCCCGGCUAACUUCGCGCCAGCAGCCGC